rnacentral:SRP_RNA from 16 species
ACCUGUAACUCAUGCGAGGGACUACAAGGUGCUGGAAUUCGAUGGCUCGCUUCUCACGCCCGUGCCCGCCACGCUGAGGCUGUGCCCCACUCAAGGCGACUGUGUCCACUGGUCCCGGCGGGUAGCUGCCGGGGUCUUGGGGCCGAAGGAACAGGGUACGGGGCCAGGCCGGCAACGGAGCAGCCAAAACCUGUCGCAGCCGCCAGUGAGGGGAACACACGGCUGAGU